AUGGGGAAACCCAACAUAUUUGCUUUCGCACACAAGGAAUGGAGAACAGAGAUUUUAAGUUCUGCUCAUUCAUUCACAUCGCCAGACUCCAUAGAAUUGAAGUUCUCAUCGUCAUCCAGGUUUCAGCAUGAGAUUCGGGACAAACUAGAUCUUGGUCUGAGUCAGGCUCAGCUCCUUCUGAAUUGUAUGAACCCACUAAAACCUCAGCAGAAUAGCAGCUUCAUGAAGAUUCAGCUGCAGCCGUAUCCAAUAAAACACAGUGACAGAUAGAUGGAUCUUACAGAAAAUCUGCUGAUUGCUCUCUCUGUAAACCUCAACUGUAAACAAUAGAAGGACAUUUGUUUCUCUGUCAUGUUUCUUUCAGUACAUAAAGAUGAAGAACCAAAUCAAUGUUUGGAAAAAAGAAAAAAAAGAAUAUGUUAUGGUUGUCUCCUAGUUGGCUUUUUGGUAGUCAUUCUCUCUUACAAUGGGCUUCUAUGUUUUGCCCAUCUAUUUCACCGGGGACAAAAGAAUGUCUAUUCUUCUAAAUUUCAAGUUUCUGGGUGAGGGGACUCUAGAGAAGGAAGCCAGAUCCAAAUUAUUGACAUAUGUUGACUUAUUUUAUUCCUCUGAUUCUCUGAAGUACCAUAGCUGCAAUAUGGUGUCAAAGUAACAUCUCAGAAAUUAUAUGUGGAAUAUUCAAGAAUAUGCUAAGUACUUGGUUUAGUAAAAAUCUAAAUGUGCAAUAGUUGCUUAUUUAUUUCAUAAAGAACCAAGAUAUCAACACAAUGAGGUCCAAUGCUCCAUCUUCCUUUAUCACCUGUUGCCACCCCCAGCCACUCACUGACAUAGACACUGCAAAGAUCUUU
rnacentral:lncRNA from 1 species